GCAUAUCAAUAAGCGGAGGAAAAGAAACUAACUAGGAUUCCCUUAGUAACGGCGAGUGAACCGGGAAAAGCUCAAAUUUGUAAUCUGGCUGUCUUCGAUAGUCCGAGUUGUAAUCUAUAGACGUGUUUUCCGUGCUGGACCGUAUCUAAGUCCCUUGGAACAGGGUAUCAAAGAGGGUGACAAUCCCGUGCUUGAUACGACCACCAGUGCUCUGUGAUACACGCUCUACGAGUCGAGUUGUUUGGGAAUGCAGCUCAAAAUGGGUGGUAAAUUCCAUCUAAAGCUAAAUAUUGGCGAGAGACCGAUAGCGAACAAGUACCGUGAGGGAAAGAUGAAAAGCACUUUGGAAAGAGAGUUAAACAGUACGUGAAAUUGUUGAAAGGGAAACGAUUGAAGUCAGUCGUGUUCUUUGGAUUCAGCUAGUUCUUCUAGUCUACUUCCAUUGAACGGGUCAACAUCAGUUUUGUCCGGUGGAUAAAGAUAGUAGGAAUGUAGCUCCCCCGGGAGUGUUAUAGACUAUUAUUGCAUACACUGGGUGAGACUGAGGACUGCAGCUCGCCCUUAGGCCGGUCUUCGGACACGUUCGAGCUUAGGAUGUUGACAUAAUGGCUUUAAACGACCCGUCUUGAAACACGGACC
rnacentral:rRNA from 1 species